rnacentral:rRNA from 1 species
UACGAAGGGGGCGAGCGUUGUUCGGAUUUACUGGGCGUAAAGGGCGCGCAGGCGGCUCAUUUUGUCAGGCGUGAAAGCCCCGGGCUCAACCCGGGAACGGCGUUUGAAACUGGCAGGCUAGAGUUUGGCAGAGGGGGGUGGAAUUCCACGUGUAGCAGUGAAAUGCGUAGAGAUGUGGAGGAACACCGAUGGCGAAGGCAGCCCCCUGGGCCAAAACUGACGCUCAGGCACGAAAGUGUGGGGAGCAAACAGG